UUGAAAGGGAAACGAUUGAAGUCAGUCGUACCUGCGGAUAAUCAACCUUUAGAUGCGAUUUUGUGGAGUGUGAGGAGCUAAUCGCCUUCAUGCCUGUAUAUUCGUGUACUUUGGGGUGUACUUAUUCGUGAGGUAAGUUAACAUCAAUUUUGGUGGUCAUAAAAUGACUGGAGGAAUGUAGCUUCGAUCUCGUAUUGAAGUGUUAUAGCCCUCGGUAGAUGUGAUGAUCGAGAUUGAGGAUUGCAACGGAUACCCUCCGGGGCUACCUGUCUGGUCUCUGAUCGUUGCUCUGGUGCCGAAAGCGUGCUUACGGUUAUCAAAGUCAAUAGGUUAGAACGGGUUAAAUUCGUUAAGGAUGUUGACGUA
rnacentral:rRNA from 1 species